AAUUUUGUUUUUUAAAGGAAUAAAUUCCUGUUUUCAAAUAAAUACUUCUACGUUUUGUAGUUAUAAAAAUAUUGUAUUUUUAAUACUUCAAAAUAUUGGAUGUUGUCUAUGAAUAUUUAAAGCUUUUGUAUUAUAUCUACAUACGUUGAAAUAAUGCCUUAAUAAUGCUAAAGUCCAUUAUAGAUGUCAUUUGUCAAGCACUUAAAUCAGUCAAUGCCUGAGGUUUGUGACAUUGACAUUUUGUAUGACAAAAUAUACAGGAUGUGUCGUAAAUAGUGGUCCAAAGCAAAAGGGUCGAUACACUAUACACUGAGGUACCACAUACCAGUAUUAAAAAAAAGGUAAAGUCAAGCGAUUUGCUAGUAGUGAGUAUUUGAUGAGUGCUGCUGACAACGCCACUCUUGUAGCGGAGUUUUGGGCUGACACUGUGUAGGUUUGUUGUCGACACGAAAAGAAGAAGUAGUGAGUAUUGAAUUUCGAAACAAACUUGUUUAUUGAAAUUCAGUUU